rnacentral:rRNA from 1 species
AAUGAACGCUGGCGGCAGGCCUAACACAUGCAAGUCGAACGGGUCCUUCGGGACUAGUGGCGGACGGGUGAGUAACGCGUGGGGACAUACCCAAAGGUACGGAAUAGCCUCUGGAAACGGAGAGUAAUACCGUAUGUGCCCUUCGGGGGAAAGAUUUAUCGCCUUUGGAUUGGCCCGCGUUGGAUUAGGUAGUUGGUGGGGUAAUGGCCUACCAAGCCGACGAUCCAUAGCUGGUUUGAGAGGAUGAUCAGCCACACUGGGACUGAGACACGGCCCAGACUCCUACGGGAGGCAGCAGUGGGGAAUCUUAGACAAUGGGGGAAACCCUGAUCUAGCCAUGCCGCGUGAUCGAUGAAGGCCUUAGGGUUGUAAAGAUCUUUCAGGUGGGAAGAUAAUGACGGUACCACCAGAAGAAGCCCCGGCUAACUCCGUGCCAGCAGCCGCCGCAGUAA